rnacentral:rRNA from 1 species
AACCUCCGCAAUGCACGAAAGUGCGACGGGGGGACCCCAAGUGCCACCCUUAACGGGGUGGCUUUUCUUGAGUGUAAAAAGCUUCUGGAAUAAGGGCUGGGCAAGACCGGUGCCAGCCGCCGCGGUAACACCGGCAGCUCAAGUGGUAGCCAUUUUUAUUGGGCCUAAAGCGUUCGUAGCCGGUUUGAUAAGUCUCUGGUGAAAUCCUAUGGCUUAACUGUGGGAAUUGCUGGAGAUACUGUUAGACUUGAGGUCGGGAGAGGUUAGCGGUACUCCCAGGGUAG